rnacentral:rRNA from 1 species
GCCGGCAUCUAGCUCUCUGCAGCUCUCACAUGGUCGCCAACUGAAGCUAAGCAGGGCUGCACCCAGUCAGUACCUGGAUUGGAGAACACAUGGGAACGCUAUAGGUUGCUGCUGGAA